AGAAAACUUUUAGUUUUGUGAUUGGUUUUUAGCUUUAUGUUUCUCCAAAACUUCACCUACAAGACACAAUGGUAAAUGCAGUUGAUCAAUGCAAAUAGAUAACGUUAGUAUGUUCAUGUUUACUUUUAGAUUGCAAUCAGCUAAGUGGUUCUGGUUUGUUUAUCACGUGACUAAAUGGUUAGCUAAUGGUCACAGUACUGAUACUGAUCAAUAUAAAAAAACAAUGGUAAUGGUAGGAAAUGUUGACAAUUUUGAAAAGGGUGAUAAUCCAUUUUAGCAUGUCACGAAUGUUUUGUUUUUUUAAAAUGAUUUUCACGAGUAACAACGUCAUUAAAUAACAGAUUCUCUGAUCUAAUUAUAUUGUGCUCGGAUUGACAAUGACGCCGUUUGAAGGUAGCUUGCUUUAGACGGUGUAAAAAAACUAUUUUUCUGGAUUCGUAAUUUAUGUAGUACAUUCUAUAUUCCAUUUCAACUAUUUAGAGAAGGCGAAUAGGGGAAAACUGGUAGAUCCAACAUGUGGAUAGACUUGCAAAAUGCGUCGUUGUGUGCCUCGACUAACUGCUCUACCUUUAGUUUCGACUCACAUAUUACCAAGGACUUGUACAUUAUUGU